rnacentral:tRNA from 1 species
GCCCGGGUGGCGAAACUGGUAUACGCAUGGGACUUAAAAUCCCCCGGCCGCAAGGCCAUGCGGGUUCGACCCCCGCCCCGGGCACCA